rnacentral:rRNA from 1 species
UACAGAGGGUGCGAGCGUUAAUCGGAGUUACUGGGCGUAAAGCGCGCGUAGGCGGCUUUGCAAGUCGAGUGUGAAAUCCCCGGGCUUAACCCGGGAACUGCAUUCGAGACUGCAUAGCUAGAGUAUGGGAGAGGGAAGUGGAAUUUCAGGUGUAGCGGUGAAAUGCGUAGAUAUCUGAAGGAACAUCAGUGGCGAAAGCGACUUCCUGGACCAAUACUGACGCUCAUGUGCGAAAGCGUGGGGAGCAAACAGG